rnacentral:lncRNA from 1 species
AAGCGUAGGAAAGAAGAGCAGCAGCAGGGAGAGAAUAUUGAAAGAUCUAGCAGUUCAAGCUCUGGCUCGGUGAGAUCCACAUAUGCAUAUACUUGAAACAUAUUUGGUUCAAAACACAAACUAGGAAGAACUAAUACAUAUAUAAUUUUACAUUAUUAAUUUAAAUAAAAAAGAAUUAAUAAUUUUAAAAAAUUAGUGUAUAUAUAUUUUUUACAUUAUUAAUAGUAAUUUAGCUGAUGCUAUGUUUUUUGUUUUUAUGGCAAUAAUAUAGUCGGAGGAUGACGGCCAAGGAGGGAGGAGGAAGAAGAAGGGAUUGAAGGAGAAAAUAAAGGAGAAACUGACGGGUGGAAAGCACAAGGAAGAGACUGUAACGAGCACUCCAACCACAGAAACCACCUCAGGCGGCGGCGAACACCAUGAGCAUGAGAAGAAAGGUGUUAUGGAGAAGAUCAAAGAGAAGUUGCCUGGCCAUGGGCACG